GGGCACUUAGCUCAGUGGUAGAGCGACUGUUUUACACACAGUAGGCCGAGGGUUCGAUCCCCCCAGUGCCCA
rnacentral:tRNA from 1 species